GACGAACGCUGGCGGCGUGCUUAACACAUGCAAGUCGAACGGAAAGGCCCUGCUUUUGUGGGGUGCUCGAGUGGCGAACGGGUGAGUAACACGUGAGUAACCUGCCCUUGACUUUGGGAUAACUUCAGGAAACUGGGGCUAAUACCGGAUAUGAGCUCCUGCUGCAUGUUGGGGGUUGGAAAGUUUCGGCGGUUGGGGAUGGACUCGCGGCUUAUCAGCUUGUUGGUGGGGUAGUGGCUUACCAAGGCUUUGACGGGUAGCCGGCCUGAGCGGGUUACCGGCCACAUUGGGACUGAGAUACGGCCCAGACUCCUACGGGAGGCAGCAGUGGGGAAUAUUGCACAAUGGGCGGAAGCGUGAGGCAGCAACGCCGCGUGCGGGAUGACGGCCUUCGGGUUGUAAACCGCUUUCGCCUGUGACGAAGCGUGAGUGACGGUAAUGGGUAAAGAAGCACCGGCUAACUACGUG
rnacentral:rRNA from 1 species